UACAGAGGUGGCAAGCGUUGUUCGGAAUUACUGGGCGUAAAGCGCGUGUAGGCGGCUCUUCAAGUCAGGCGUGAAAGCCCCGGGCUCAACUCGGGAACUGCGCUUGAUACUGUCGAGCUAGAGUGUGGAAGGGGCGAUUGGAAUUCCGUGUGUAGCGGUGAAAUGCGUAGAUAUACGGGGGAACACCAGAGGCGAAGGCGGAUCGCUGGGCCAACACUGACGCUGAGACGCGAAAGCUAGGGUAGCAAACGGG
rnacentral:rRNA from 1 species